UCUGAAUUAUUUCUUUAUCAGGCAAGCAUAAAUGUUUAUAUUCCUGCUCGGAUAUCUCGUUAAGUUUUAAAUUUAUAAGACGGCUGGAUUCCAAUGGAGUAAUCCCCGCCGAAUUAUAAAAAUUGAGAAUAACAUCAGGCAAAUCGCUCAGCUGGAUAGUUGCAGCAAUAAUUGGUAAUAAAGUGAAGGCAUCUUCGUACGAAAAAGAUUCUGGUGAUUCAAUGUUGUUUAAGCUUUUUUCUACUGUCUCUUGAUCAUAAAUAGGACAGACAACAUUUAGUGUUUUAAAAAAUAAAUUAACAAUUUUCUGUGAUAUGCAAAAUGGCGGUAAAAGGUUCGCCAAACUCUCAACAACCACAUUAUCUUUAUAGCUACUGUAAGCCUGAAUUGAAAACGAAGGUCGAGAUGAGCACAUGUCGCUAUCCUUUCUAUAUUUAAUCAACUCAAAGAGUGAUCUCCAUCCAUAAAAAUCAAAUUUCUCAUUUUUUUUCGGAUUAAUAUCGGGAGAAACUUCCAGUGUGGUUUCAGAAUCAGAAGCAUUUUCGCUAUGACUAGGAUGUGGUCCGACGUUCAUUUUAUCAAUGGUAUCAUCUGCGUAAGUGCAAACCUCGUUCCUUUCUUUACAUCGAGAGCAAGGCUGCUGACGGUCGCAUUUGACCUUGCGGCGCCUACAAAUUAAACAUGAUUUUGGGCUGCGUUUUCGAAAUUUCUUUAAAGCUGGAGGAGAGGAAGACAUUAUUAGAAGUAUUGAUAACUUGAUAAUUUCCUUUCAAGCAAUUGUAGUUGCCUCCGUAUUUGAAGUGGAGGCACAAAAUAAAACGAGGAUCCUUCAAAACUUCCUAUUUUAGAGAAUCCUUUAAAAGCACCUUGAUAUUCAG